GUAGAUAGUUUUAGCUGACAUGACUCUGGGAGGGAGGGGGUACCCCCUCGGAAGAAUGGGGUACUCCUCCGCUUUCCAACAAAGAAUCCCCUGUCCUGAAAUGACCUCAGAGGAACUGGCUGAGACACUCUGACCUAACCAUGCAGAUCCAAGGCUUAAAAUCUGCUGGAAAAAACCCAGCCAGUUUUAUAUAGCGUGCAGGCUCACGGGUUGUUCUGUGUGAGUCAUCUGGAACCCGGGGUCUGGCUUUGACUUGUGUCUGCAGCCUGAGGAAGACGAAUGUUCCUUCGGCCAGUUGAGUCUGAGAAUUGAGGACAUUCACAGCUCUCACUCUGUGUCCUGACCUACGUGACUCAGACCUGGAACUGGAUGUAUUAGGGUGUGGGGAACUCUGCAGGAAAACCCACAAUUCUUAUCCAAGGGCAGGUUUUAGCCUAAGCAGAGAAUCCGUGCCCCAUGCCCUAGUGGAAAUGCCUUUUUUUCAUGACAAUUUAAGAUGGACACUGUCUUCCUGCCUUGCCACCUUCCCUGUGGGUUGAAUCUACCCGACACUACAUUUUAUCCAGGGAUCAAGGCUAGAAGAGAUGAAUCCACAGAAGAGUCUGCGACCAUGGUGCCUGGGCUUUCUGUGCAAAAUGCUACAGCCACAAUAAGAUAUUUACCGUCUUUAUCGGAAGAUCAAACCCACCCACAAAUGUCACAUUGCUCAAAUUCCAUCAGUAGAUCAGACAAGCUGUCUCUGGGAAGAGGACAUUCCAGCCAGCAAGUUCAGAGCGCACUGGCUUCGAGGGCCGGUCCCUUCCUAUUUUCUGUCACACACCCUGAGCCUUUGUUGUCUCCGCACUGCUGAUAAAUCAAUCCAUCAAAAAAUUUCCUCAGUGAAACUCAAUCAAGAAAGGUCAUGUCAGCGGGAGAGGAACAGAUUAAAUUAGCAUCAAAUUAGACAUGGAAAGUGAGUUCUGUCAAAAUCAUCGCAGCGCUCAGCACAAUUAGAAUAUGUUAAUUAUGCAUUUCAUUAAGGUGGAUGUGAGAUGAAAUGUCACUGGGGUAGGCAUCCGAAAAAGGGAAGAUUGCCAGGCACAACUUUCUCUAGACAAUGUGUGACACCUUCAUUACCAUCAAGAAUCGCGAGUCUGCCGUGACUUUUUCUGUAAAGGAUUAAACCAUUAACUGUU